rfam:Pan troglodytes isolate Yerkes chimp pedigree #C0471 (Clint) chromosome 8, whole genome shotgun sequence.
GCUGGGCAUGGUGGCGCGGGCCUGUAAUCCCAGUUACUCAGGAGGCUGAGGCAGGAGAAUCACUUGAACCCAGGAGGCAGAGGUUGCAGUGAGCCAAGACUGUGACACUGCACUCCAGCCUGGGUGACAGAGUGAGACUCCGUCUCAA